CCUCUCCUGAGACGUGGGAAAUCUGGAAUAGAAAACAUUUUGGUUUAGGACAACGGUUCCUUCAUGGGAUGAAAUAAAGGUUCAUAGUUUGAGAGCUGGAAUGGGCCUCAGGGGAUAUCUGAUUCAUUCUACAAAUGAGCACAAAGAAGUUGGAGAAAAGAUCCAUGACUUGCCCAAGGUCAUAAAACCACUAAUAUUUGUAGGCCUUUGGGCCAAAUUUCUGAAAUAAGCAAGGAAUCACAAAAUAGAACUUCCUCUACAUUUGAUAAAGACGUUUGGAGUAUAGUGGACAAACUACUUCGGUCAACGCAAUAUAAGAUACGUGUCUAAUCAGAAGUGAAAUAUAAAAUCAUGUUCCUAAAGGAUGACUCAUCUUCACCUUUAUCUCUCUGAGCAAAUAUCAAAUUGUAACUAGCCUUCUGGAUUUUCUGUUCCUCUUGUCAGUGAAGAACCUAAUUCCUGUAGAAUGUAAUGAGAAAAACAGCCUGUGAUCCUGAGGUCUUGUUUUAAAUCUUUCUGUCAAUAAAUCAAAUGCAAAGCAA